GCAUAUCAAUAAGCGGAGGAAAAGAAACCAACAGGGAUUGCCCCAGUAACGGCGAGUGAAGCGGCAACAGCUCAAAUUUGAAAUCUGGCCCUCGGGUCCGAGUUGUAAUUUGCAGAGGAUGCUUUUGGUGAGGUGCCUUCCGAGUUCCCUGGAACGGGACGCCAUAGAGGGUGAGAGCCCCGUCUGGUCGGACACCAAACCUGUGUAAAGCUCCUUCGACGAGUCGAGUAGUUUGGGAAUGCUGCUCUAAAUGGGAGGUAUAUGUCUUCUAAAGCUAAAUACCGGCCAGAGACCGAUAGCGCACAAGUAGAGUGAUCGAAAGAUGAAAAGCACUUUGAAAAGAGAGUUAAACAGUACGUGAAAUUGUUGAAAGGGAAGCGCUCAUGACCAGACUUGGGCUUGGCUGAUCAACUUGGGUUCUCCCGGGUGCACUCUUCCUCGUCCAGGCCAGCAUCAGUUCGCUGCGGGGGAUAAAGGUUUCGGGAACGUGGCUCCCUCGGGAGUGUUAUAGCCCGUUGCGUAAUACCCUGCGGUGGACUGAGGUCCGCGCAUCUGCAAGGAUGCUGGCGUAAUGGUCAUCAGCGACCCGUCUUGAAACACGGACC
rnacentral:rRNA from 1 species